rnacentral:rRNA from 1 species
UACGAAGGGUGCAAGCGUUAAUCGGAAUUACUGGGCGUAAAGGGUGCGUAGGCGGUUCGUUAAGUCUGGCGUGAAAUCCCCGGGCUCAACCUGGGAAUGGCGAUGGAUACUGGCGAGCUAGAGUGUGUCAGAGGAUGGUGGAAUUCCCGGUGUAGCGGUGAAAUGCGUAGAGAUCGGGAGGAACAUCAGUGGCGAAGGCGGCCAUCUGGGAAAACACUGACGCUGAAGCACGAAAGCGUGGGGAGCAAACAGG